UACGUAGGUGGCAAGCGUUGUCCGGAUUUACUGGGCGUAAAGAGCGCGCAGGCGGUCGUUCAAGUCGCGUGUGAAAGCCCCCGGCUCAACUGGGGAGGGUCACGCGAUACUGAUCGACUGGAAGGCAGGAGAGGGUAGUGGAAUUCCCGGUGUAGUGGUGAAAUGCGUAGAUGUCGGGAGGAACACCAAUGGCGAAGGCAGCUCACUGGGACGGUACUGACGCUGAGACGCGAAAGCGUGGGAAGCAAACAGG
rnacentral:rRNA from 1 species